AACGGCCAUACCAUGCUGAAUAUACCGGUUCUCGUUAGAUCACCGAAGUCUCAAGCAUCAUUGGGCGCGGUCAGUACUUGGGUGGGUGACCACCUGGGAACACCGCGUGCCGUUA
rnacentral:rRNA from 1 species